CAAUUUACUUAUUUUAGGUUAUAUUUACAAUAACAGAAGGUUAAAAAAAUGUCAAAAUCAAGAAAAAGCUUAUCGACUCUUUGGGUUACUUGUGAUAAAUGCCAAUCAACAAUGUCACAAAAAGACACGUGCUUCCAUGAGUCUACAUGUCCUCCGACAAAUGAUGAAUGGACUCAUAAUUAUGUACAAAACAAAAUUCUUUACAGUUAUGUUGAUACUUAUUGUUCAAAAGAACUUCCAAAAAAUAUCACUGAACGAGAUUCCCAUGAGAUGGUUUUCAUGUCUCAUUCUGCAUUAGAAUUGUGUGAAAUAGCGAUUGGCGACAGAGUAAUUUUAUCUUUCAAAGGUGAAGAAAUAGUUAAAACUGCGUGGCCCACCAGUGACAAAAGUUUAACUAGUGUAUGUUUAACUAAAAAUAGUAAGUUGUAUUAAUGAAACAUUAU
rnacentral:misc_RNA from 1 species